CAGCCGCCGCGGGAAUACGUAGGUCCCGAGCGUUGUCCGGAUUUAUUGGGUGUAAAGCGAGCGCAGGCGGUUAGAUAAGUCUGAAGUUAAAGGCUGUGGCUUAACCAUAGUACGCUUUGGAAACUGUUUAACUUGAGUGCAAGAGGGGAGAGUGGAAUUCCAUGUGUAGCGGUGAAAUGCGUAGAUAUAUGGGGGAACACCGGUGGCGAAAGCGGCUCUCUGGCUUGUAACUGACGCUGAGGCUCGAAAGCGUGGGGAGCAAACAGGAUUAGAUACCCCGGUAGUCCCUGUCUCUUAUACA
rnacentral:rRNA from 1 species